ensembl:lncRNA
CCCACCCUUUCUGUAUGACAUCAUAGUGGAGGAAACCUUUCUCAGGGCUGCCCAUCAGUGCCCAGGCCUGACUCUCUUUCCCUUAAAAGAAAUAGAACUUCAGAGACAGAAGGGAUCUUAGAGAGUAAAUUCUUGCAGUGAUAGAAAGCUGAUUAGCACAUGGAGUAUGGUUCUACUGUUACUUGUUCUGAAGACAGAGGGAAAUGCCAUCAUCAUUGUGUGAAGGAAGCCUGGAACUCUCAUCCCUUUGCUGCCAAGUAAAUGUUAAUAGAAGUGAAAAGGACUGUAUAUCAAGAUAGUCACAGGAGCAAAGCUGCCACAAGUUUUUCAUACAGUUUUUCUUUAGAGUACUUUUCACUGGCUUCCAGUAACCUGAUCAAUCCAACAACCAGAGAAUUCAAUUUUCUUUGUCAAAAUUGAAUUGAAUUAGAGAUUUUCACAGAAAGAGUUUCAGCAAAGUCUAUGUGACUGUGAAUAGGAGAACAGAUGAAGAAACAAGGAGUCAUGCCUGUCUCAAAGGAGUGAUUUCACAAGGC